GGGGAUGACGGCCUUCCGGUUGUAAACCUCUUUCGACCUUGACGAAGCCUUUCGGGGUGACGGUAGGGGUAGAAGAAGCACCGGCCAACUACGUGCCAGCAGCCGCGGUAAUACGUAGGGUGCGAGCGUUGUCCGGAAUUAUUGGGCGUAAAGAGCUCGUAGGCGGUCUGUCGCGUCGGUCGUGAAAACUUGGGGCUUAACCCUGAGCUUGCGGUCGAUACGGGCAUGACUGGAGUUCGGCAGGGGAGACUGGAAUUCCUGGUGUAGCGGUGAAAUGCGCAGGUAUCAGGAGGAACACCGGUGGCGAAGGCGGGUCUCUGGGCCGAUACUGACGCUGAGGAGCGAAAGCGUGGGGAGCGAACAGGAUUAGAUACCCUGGUAGUCCACGCCGUAAACGGUGGGCGCUAAGUG
rnacentral:rRNA from 1 species